AACAGCUCAUUGAUGAGAGGUCGGCAGUCCUGUGGGUGAGAACAGCUCAUUGAUGAGAGGUUGACAGUCCUGUGGGUGACAACAGCUCAUUAUGAGAGGUUGACAGUCCUGUGGGUGACAACAGCUCGGUGAUGAGAGGUUGACAGUCCUGUGGGUGACAACAGCUCGGUGAUGAGAGGUCGGCAGUCCUGUGGGUGAGAACAGCUCGUUGAUGAGAGGUCGGCAGUCCUGUGGGUGACAACAGCUCAUUGAUGAGAGGUCGGCAGUCCUGUGGGUGAGAACAGCUCGUUGAUGAGAGGUCGGCAGUCCUGUGGGUGACAACAGCUCAUUGAUGAGAGGUCGGCAGUCCUGUGGGUGACAACAGCUCAUUGAUGAGAGGUCGGCAGUCCUGUGGGUGACAACAGCUCAUUGAUGAGAGGUCGGCAGUCCUGUGGGUGACAACAGCUCAUUGAUGAGAGGUCGGCAGUCCUGUGGGUGACAACAGCUCAUUGAUGAGAGGUCGGCAGUCCUGUGGGUGACAACAGCUCGGUGAUGAGAGGUCGGCAGUCCUGUGGGUGAGAACAGCUCGUUGAUGAGAGGUCGGCAGUCCUGUGGGUGACAACAGCUCAUUGAUGAGAGGUCGGCAGUCCUGUGGGUGAGAACAGCUCGUUGAUGAGAGGUCGGCAGUCCUGUGGGUGACAACAGCUCAUUAAUGAGAGGUCGGCAGUCCUGUGGGUGACAACAGCUCGGUGAUGAGAGGUCGGCAGUCCUGUGGGUGACAACAGCUCAUUAAUGAGAGGUCGGCAGUCCUGUGGGUGACAACAGCUCGGUGAUGAGAGGUCGGCAGUCCUGUGGGUGAGAACAGCUCAUUGAUGAGAGGUCGGCAGUCCUGUGGGUGAAACAGCUCAUUGAUGAGAGGUCGGCAGUCCUGUGGGUGACAACAG